rnacentral:rRNA from 1 species
CCUACGGGAGGCUGCAGUGAGGAAUAUUGGUCAAUGGACGAGAGUCUGAACCAGCCAAGUAGCGUGAAGGAUGACUGCCCUAUGGGUUGUAAACUUCUUUUAUAUGGGAAUAAAAUGUUCCACGUGUGGGAUUUUGUAUGUACCAUAUGAAUAAGGAUCGGCUAACUCCGUGCCAGCAGCCGCGGUAAUACGGAGGAUCCGAGCGUUAUCCGGAUUUAUUGGGUUUAAAGGGAGCGUAGGUGGAUUGUUAAGUCAGUUGUGAAAGUUUGCGGCUCAACCGUAAAAUUGCAGUUGAAACUGGCAGUCGUGAGUACAGUAGAGGUGGGCGGAAGGCGUGGUGUAGCGGUGAAAUGCUUAGAUAUCACGAAGAACUCCGAUUGCGAAGGCAGCUCACUGGACUGCAACUGACACUGAGGCUCGAAAGUGUGGGUAUCAAACAGGAUUAGAUACCCGGGUAGUC